rnacentral:rRNA from 1 species
GAUGAACGCUGGCGGCGUGCUUAACACAUGCAAGUCGAACGGAAAGGCCCAAGCUUGCUUGGGUACUCGAGUGGCGAACGGGUGAGUAACACGUGGGUGAUCUGCCCUGCACUUCGGGAUAAGCCUGGGAAACUGGGUCUAAUACCGGAUAGGACCACUUCUUGGAUGUUGUGGUGGAAAGUUUUUUCGGUGUGGGAUGAGCUCGCGGCCUAUCAGCUUGUUGGUGGGGUAAUGGCCUACCAAGGCGUCGACGGGUAGCCGGCCUGAGAGGGUGUACGGCCACAUUGGGACUGAGAUACGGCCCAGACGCCUACGGGAGGCAGAAGUGGGGAAUAGUGCACAAGGGGCGCAAGCCUGAUGCAGCGACGCCGCGUGGGGGAUGACGGCCUUCGGGUUGUAAACUCAUUUCGCUAGGGACGAAGCGUUUUGUGACGGUACCUGGAGAAGAAGCACCGGCUAACUACGUG